UUCUUUUCUUUAUUUUCUUUUCUCUCUGUGACCUACAGACCCCACCUCCCGUCUCCUUCCUCGCGACGGACUCCGCCUCCGCCUCCGCCGCCGCCACCGACUCGAACUCUCGGAGCUCCCCUGGUACGAAACCCACAAGACCCCUCGAGAUCGAGCCACUCGACCGCGCUGAUUUCCGCCCGUCUCGGUGACUCCAUCGACGAAUUUCUUCGCCAAACGGACGCGCUAUUCGAGCCCCACCAUGCUCCGGCCGAGCUCUAUCACCGCAAGACGGAGCCCCCACAUCAUCAAGGAGGAUCCCUUAGAGAUUGCUGAGGCACGACGCACCUCGUGGACUACUUCCCGGAGCAAGAAGACCCCAGGAACCGACCCCGUACCCAUCUAUUCCGGUGACCUCCGCUGCCUAACCCAGAUCCAUCCAUGUUACUGCAUUCUGAGAUGGCAUACGUGACAUGGCUGAUGGAUCAAUCCCAAGAGAUUUUGUUUUUCAUGUUGGCUCACCUUCUCACACGCGUGUACAUCCGUGAGUGAAUUUGGUUAUUUAGAACAAAAUCUGAGAGUUGACGUAAUGGAAUUGUUGUUUUCUGUGAACUGAAUGACACACAUAUACAUAUUGCCUCGUCGUAAUUCUGUUGCCUAUCCCAACCGCAUGUGCUCCUGAAUAUGUGGAACAUAUCUAGCUGGAUAUUGUGCACCCUUUAAAUUCAUAAUAGAUCAACCAUAUGUGGAAUAGCCACCACGCUAGGGUUUGGACUCUAAUAGAUGGUCACAAUUUGGUUAACAAGGUGCUAUGGGUCGAUGGAUUGCUAUAGAUCCUGUGAUGGGCUGGUUCAUGUGAAUUUGUCUCAUAAUUGGGCAAUUGGUCCUCUGGUUGAUACUGCUCGUACUGCUCUAAUCAGGUGGUCUGUGUUCAUCUCUAGUCCAUGUGUGCGUGAUGUGCUCAUGUGAGCAGGACAUUAUCAAGUCUUUUGAUGUUCUGCGCACUGACCGAUCGAUGCCCUUCUAUGAGAAGAAAGAAAAACGACCCAUUCCUAGCUGUGUACGAGUGUAUUGACAAACAAGUUGGUUAUUGUCAAGGAUUCGAUUUGGUACAACAUCAUCACCGAUGCAGACAAGAAGUGCUUCAUCGUGCCAGGCACCUUGGCGUUGCUUUCGUCUGACGGCGACCGCGGCUACAGAAACAAUCACAAUGAACUCCUCUCCUUGCCUCCGGUGCUUGCUCUGUGCUCGUCGUAGCCAUCAUGCCAUGGCUGUCUGGUUAGGCUGCUACAUUAUAUCCUUGCUACUGUUUGUUUGUUCUUUUCUCUGCCUUGUGAUUAGCAUGCUGCUAGUAGCCCCCGCGUGAUAGUAACUUGCUGAAUAUAUGUCUUUGAGUAGCAACUUAUAGAAUAUAUAUAGCUCAUGUUCAUGUUUUCCCAUCCCACCAAGUCUGAAACACUUCUUCGCACUCAACAACCAGGCAGCACACCUGAAUAUAUAUACACAUAUGUACGUAGUUUCCCAUAACACAUGGAGCAGCCUUGUUCGUUUCGGGAUGUAGUAUCACCACUUAAUUUAUUCCCUGCCUGCCACCUUCAUGAAAUUCCGACUGUAUAUAUGUAGUUUGUGUACCGUCCAUGAUAUGCACUUGCAUAUAUACUCAACUCAUGUUGGUCUUGUGCUAUUUCCAAGGAUGCCUUCCUACUCGUGCUAGUUUUAAGUCAUGUGGCCUUGCUUCCAGGAUGAUGAUAUUCCAACUAUAUGGUUGUGGUAUGUUGCACUCUUUUGACACUAUUUUAUAUCACUACAAUUGUUUAGACAAACAUGGAGAUGCUGUGAGUUUGCUUUUCCCAGUAUGUCUUACCCAUGUAGUAUGUAGAACGCUUCAUUCUAUUAAGAAAGGCAUUUUUGAUAGUGUCAUGAUAAGAAGUCGUCUUGAGAAGAGUGGCGCCAGAAUAAGGUAAAUAGGCGGAAGCAUGUGAGCACCAUAGUAGGUUGAGCUGAAGGUGGUGCAUUACGAGGAAGGAGGCAUCACAGUCAAGGGAGAUGGCGCAUCAGAAGAAUCCACAACACACAGACGACCAAUUUGGUAAAGAAGAGGAUGAGGCGGAAUCACCGGAGAAAACUCAGUGGACAAUCGAGGUGAGGUAGCCUCGGACAAUGGAGUCGUGGGUGACAACGACAUGGGUCAACAAUAGUAAUACAAGACACGUGGGUGGACUGGGAUAAUUCAUGAAUCAUAGAUGUAUCGGGAAGAGUGAGGAAAUAAAUAUCUUCAAUGGAGGAUGGACGUGGAUAGCAAGGAUGAAACUCAUCAAAAGUGACAUCUUGAGAAAUGUGCAUCCGAUGGCUGACAAGAUCCCAACACCAAUAGUCCUUGUGCUCAUCACUAUAACAUAAGAAGACACAUUCAACACACUAAACGGUUUGGUGUGUUCAUUGGGGCAAGAAGAAUGUACAAAUGCAACCAAACAAAGGAAGCUAGAGUUGUCACGAGAAUGAUCGAAAAGACACACGAGAGAAAUGUCACCCUGCAGAGCAAUGGAAGGCGGAAUGUUGAUGAGAUAGGCGGUAGUAGACACAACCUCAACCCAGAAGUGAGGUGAAAGGGAGUUGACGAUCAUCAACACAUGAGCCACUCUGAGCACCAAGACAAGAGAAUUGAGCAAGUGUGCCCUGCUCAGCAAGGAAUCAACAUAGCGAAUGAGACAUAUACUGUUGAGCAAAAUCUGCAUGGAAGACACGGAUAGGAGUGGAAAACUUAGUAUGAACCAUGGCACCAAUUUCUUACAAAGAGAUCAGACCUCACUACAAGAAGACAUAAUAUAUUCUGUGUGCCGAGAGAAAUCAUCUAUAAAUAUAAUAUAUUAGCGAUGACCUCCUUUUGAGGCAAAGGGAGCUAGACCCCAUACAUCAGAGUGAACAAUACCGGAAGGACGAUGAGACACCGUCUUGCUAACUUGUUUACCAAGCUAACAAACUUGACAUUCUAAAUCUUCACCACCAGAGACAGAUCCAAGAAGACCACGUUGAAACUAAAGAUGAGAGAUGAGAGCCACAAAGGGCCGGUUCUUGAGGCAAUAGAGGCGAAGAGAUUUGCGGUGGUGGCCUUGGGAGUCACAACGCUGAGGGCCAACACCAAGUAGAGCACCCGUGUGAUGAUCCUAAUCAAAACAAUUUUCAAAGUCAAGAAUGACUAUACCAAGAGUCAACAAUCUAAUCACCUGAAAUGGACUACAUGGUAAGUCAAGGAGCAUGAGCAAAAGAAGGAACAUAACAAGGCAAACUGCUAAGAGUGCCUCGGCUAUUGACCAAGAGGGAAGUACCAUCAGCAGUAACAACAUGAACAUGAGAAUCCAGAGGUUUGAAUGGAGAGGAUAAACUGGAAGAAUCAUGAGUCAUAUGAAAAGACACUCCAAUACCAAGGAUCCACAGAAACAUAUCCGGAUAUAAAAAGUAGUCUCAGUACCAAAAGAAUAAUUAACAAAACCUAUAAAACUAUUAAUGGCGAACCAAAAGAAGCAUCUAGCGGGAGAAGUAUGUCAGGUGCUCGACGGAAGAGGUCGACGAAGAAGCAUCGGGCAAUAAUGAACCAUGAGAAGUAUGUGUCAAAGUCAUGCAAUCUCCUGUGCGGUGAAGGACACCGCUAAAUUGGUUGAUGUAGAAUCACCUGAAGAGGAUGCACGACCAAUACUGGUUGUAUAAUUUAGCGGAGGAGAUGAGAUCGUAGGCACAUGAGCGAAGGGAAGGCGCAUGUGUGCGACAUAGUGGGUGGAGUGAUGUGCACAAAGACUACUGAUGAAAGCUUCGAGUAUAGUCUGUAUAGAGCGACCAUCACCUUCUGUAGAGGUCACUAGGCGUCACUAUUGAGCCACCACACAAUUUGCGGAAGCACCAAGCAUCAACGGACGAUGCAUGUGCAAGAUGGGGUCAAUGUACGUAAUAUCAUUAGACGAAAAAGGAAGAGGAACUCUGUCCAAUGAAGUCCAAUACCUUUUUUUUCUACUAUUUAUUUUACAGAACUAGCUACGUCUUAUGAAAGAAGAGAGCGGCAUAGCACGUAAGAGUAAGGAAUAGGGCGCAUGCUUAGGGGCAUGGUCCCCUAGAGAAGGCAGUCGACAGGAUGGGCUGUCGAGUCCGAGUCUGAUUGUGAAGUUCGAUGUUGAGGUCCUGUGUGGAGCAAAAGAGGAGGUGAGACCGUGCAUGCAACAACGAAUGUCCGGAGGUUGUGAUUGUGCGCCAACCAACUGGAGAUGGCGACGAGGCGCGACCUAUUGGAGUGGCAGGGUGUCAGAUUCCUAGAGAUGGCAAUGAGGCGUUGCCUUAUGUACAUGGUGACAAUGCAUGACCUCCUGAAGAUGCCGGAGAGGUAGCCUAUUGUUACGUGCACGACGCAGGUGGCCACAAGGGUGACCAUGAUGAAGGCGAAGGUAUCAAGCUUGGAAGGGCGUGCCGCGAGUGACGACUUGUGGGAAUUCAUCGGGACGGGAAAGGCCUGGACAACGAAGGAGAGACAACCCCGACCUAGAGGCAGUGGAGAGACGACGACAAUUGUCGGAAAAGACAUUGACAUGGGUCGGGGAGGUGGGGUUGCACGUGAGUGUACUAGCCUGAGAACAAAUGAUUGGAAACUUGGAUAGAGAUCAAUUUAAAGAAGAGCACGAGUCGUGUGUGCGAGGAAGAAAACCUAGGCUCUAAUACCAUGUUAAGAAUAUGCAACUUGUAUUCCCAUGUGGCCAUAGGCUAUACAUGUACAUGCAUGGUAAGAUAUGCAGAAAGCCCCCCGUACAUAACUAAUAUAUUACUCAUGUUGAACACCCGGGCGUUGUGCUCCUUCCACGUGGUCUAGAAUGUGAGCAAAACCGUGCGCCAAAGGUGAUGUCGAAGAGGCGAGCAUGAAUUUCUAGAUGCCUGUUGAGAAGAAGUACUUGGUGAAAAAGUGUUGAGCACUCUUGGGGGCACUGAAGCAGAGGGUGCAUGCCAUGUUGAUGUUCGCACCAUGGCGUUGACGACGGUUAGUAGACCAUUAAUGAUACUCUAGAUAUGUGCCAAAUAUGGCUCCAACCGCAAUCCAAAUCCAAGCUUCAUCAUUCAGCCAUUGUCUCUAGAUUGCCGAUAGUUGAAGACCUGAGCGUUGUGUUCCUUCCAGAUGGUCCAGACCACGAGCAAAAAUGUCGACUCGAGAUACCAGCUUGGGGUCCAUGCAAAGGAUGUCAAAUUCAUACCAUUUGACAAUGACACAUCAGCGGCAAAGUUUAAUUGUUUUUUCGGAUUGAAACACAAACAUGCCUAGGGGUCCUUGGAUCUUUAGGCACCAUGCUAUGGUAAUUGAAGAGUAUAAUGGGAUUUGUCUCCCUUAACUCCAUAUGUGUUUGGGCACGGAUCAUGGGUCUACCGGACUUCUUGUGCAAUGGUGGCUAGAGCAAUGGCUUCCCAGAUAGAGAAGUGUUAGAUGUGGAGCUUGGGCUAAAUGGCGUUGAGUAUGUGAGAUUGUUUGAGUCUGCGUCAAGAUCAAACUAGAGAAGCCCUCUUUGAGGUUCUUAGGGAAUGUUGAGAGAGGUAAUCCACCCCAAAUGUCCCAUGUGCUAUACGAGAAGAUGUCGCAUUCUUUGUAAAUUGCGAUAUGAUUGGCCAUGUUACAGAACAAUGCGAGGAUGGGGUUCAUGAUCCAAAGAAGUUCCAGUUUGGCGAUUUUAUGAUGGUUCCAAUCUAGAUGUGGUUCCAACCUAGAAAUGAGUUCAUUGCUCAACCUCGUGGUAGCAGCACGUGUGGAAGAGGUGGUAGCUGGGCUAGUAGAGGUCAAGGUGGUCAUAGAGGGAGAAUUGGGCAUGACCCGACCCGAUGUGUAAGGAGAAAAGAUGAUUUUGACCCUGCAAAUGGAAAUAUGAGCACAUGCAAUUUCGCAUACAGUGUUAAUUUAAGGAAUUUUGGUACGAAGCCACCUCGCAAGAGAUUAUUGAUUGCAGACAACCUCGCAUCGAGCAAGGACGCCCUCCCUUGUGGUUUGGAGGAAAGAAAGUGACAAGUCUUAUAGCAUACCCUGAGGGCAAAACUGGGCGAGUAACUCAACUCAGGGUUUCUCUUUGCAAGUUCAAUUGGAAAGAAGGCAGAGGAUGGCGCGGGCGUGUCGCUCCUAACAACAUUUUCAUCGUUUCCCCAUAACUCGCUCACUAUCCAUUCACCGUUGAUUCGGCUUGGCGUUCUUCUCCUGUUUGCGGGUUGUGUGCCACGUACUUGAUUCCGCAUUCCACGUUCCCUUGCAGGGUGUCCUAGGCCUUGGCGACAGGUAGCGUCGUGCCCCUGGACGCUUGCGUCCUCGCAUAAGACGGAGACGAUGCCGACUGCUUGUGCUCUUGCUCCACCAGUGGUGGUGCAUGAGCUUGUGGCUAUGGUGACAACCUGCAUGGGAGCACGAGAUGUAGGAACAAGGCAGUGUACAGAGCAACUCGUAGCCGGGCAAAGGAUGCCUAGCCGGACUGGCAAGCAAUAGAUAGUACAUGGGAGGUGUGGGGGAAGGUGUGAAAACGAUGUUGGGAACGUGCGACUAUCGUCAACCUAUGGACCCAGAGCUGAGGGGCAAGGGGAUGGUGAUAGGGGAAGCAAGGAAGAAGGAAAGAGGGCACUGGGAGGAGAAAUGCAUCAUCAACCGCCCUAUGCCUAUGCGUCAUCUAUGACGGUGGACUGUUGUGGGAAGAUAUGGUGUCUACACGUGGAUCUACUUGGUUGACAUGACGAACUUGAGCAUGGGAAGAAAAGAUGGUGAGAGAGUCCCACGUAGAACAUGGAGGAGGUGACUAUAUUGGAUUGAAGUGGGAGCAAAGACAAACUCACUUAAAAUGUGAACGUGAUAUGAAAUAUUUGGUCAAGUGGCAUCUAAAUAGACAAGACUCCCAACAAAAUGAAGGUAUCGUGCCAGAUCAAACGAAAGCUCUCCGUUAGAAGCACAGAGGUGGACGUUGAGCUCCAUAGGAGUUUAAACAUUACGCUCACUAAUAAAACAAUGUGAGCAAGAAAAUCCUGGAUAUACUUAUCUCAUUAAGUAAAGAAGCCAUCAAAGGUAGAAGAAACCUUAACCCCCAAGGAUUAAGGCAUAAGAGCUACUGACUAAGACGAGCCUUCACAAAGGCAAUGUACUCAGUUGUUGCCAGUUAUGAUCAUGAGCUGAAAGGUUGACAUAAAAGAAGAGUACCUUAUGGUAACAUUACACGUGGAAGACGAAAGCUGAGUUUGACCAUGAGCUGAAAGGUUGACAUAAAAGAAGAGUACCUUAUGGUAACAUCACCCGUGGAAGACGAAAGAUGAGUUUGACCUUGCAAAUGGAAAAUUGGGUGCAAUGUCAUUGCAAACCAUGUUAAUCUUAAUUCUUGAUUCGUGUGGGACUCGGCGGCAUACGACGCCUUUGCACUGGUUGCGGUAGGAUCGUGUUAUUGGACGACUAGGAUCACAAAGGUGACACCACGUGUUAUUUCAUACCCUUGAAGGGAAAUUUUUGUUGUUUGUUAGCCAGCCUACAUAACCCCACAUCCACUACCACGUUCACCUUUUCUCCAUGCGGUGAAAGCACUAUCCGCCACAUCCCACACUCGUGGCCCCUGUUUCUGUUUGGUCGCCAUCCCUCUCUCGCGUUGUCCGCAACAGGUAUUAUCCAUGCUCGACAUCGCCUCCUUGAUGCUCUGCGGCCUUCGGACAGUUCUCAUCCGCGACGCCGGUCUCCUCCUUCACAAACCCUUGUUGCCGCUGUCCUCCUUCCUUUCUUGACGGUGUCCUGUCAUCUUCCUCCCCACUGGCGCCAAAGGUCCCCCAACGGCAAAACGGAUGAUUAGUCAGAGGACUCACACGACCAUGUUUACACGGACGAGUUCUUGCAGCAAGCUCUUCAAUUGUGAUGAUUUGCAACAACACCAGAGGCUGGGAAGCACACCUGAACCAGGUCACAGCCUUAUCACCUCGUUUCCUCGCCCUGCUCCCCAAUUUGAAGGCAAGGUCACAGAGCAGCAGCACCUGCGGCCGCAUGAUUUAUGCUUUGCAUGGUUUUUAUGAUGUGCUAUGGAAGCACAGGAAUUUGUUUGCAGCCCCCCUUCGGACCUAGGUCUCACCGGCCAUGUUAAGUUAGAGUAUGAUGUACCACCCUCUGUUGACCAUAAACUUGCAAUGUAAGGAUACGGUACCAGCAAAUUGGAUCACAUGGUGAUAUGAUUAUUUUGUAAAACUUGCACAUGGCAUUUCCUAGGCGUGUUUUCCUGUGACAGUAUUUCUAUGACAUGAGGAUGUGAUUGAUGUAAUGGUCCAGUUAUGAUAUCGAAUAUGGAUACUUGUGUUCGAACAUUA